AGAAAUAUAUUAUUUAAGAAAAAGCUUCUAACUUUCUUCUUUAGCAGUGUAACUCUGUUAAUAUUUCUUAGUAUACUAAAAUUAAUUAA
rnacentral:tRNA from 1 species